CUGCGGUUAAAGGCUCGUAGUUGAACCAGCGGAAUAUGAUUUCUUGCAAUAUUGAUAGAUUUUUAUUUGUAUUAUUUUUUAUAAUAUUUUUAAUUCCCCGAAUCAACGUGUAACAAAACGUAUGAUUUCAUCAUUUCGCCCCCACCCCUUAAUCCAGGGAUGGUUCAAUGGGCAUGUCGGGGACCCUAUUACUAUAUCAUAUAACAUAUAUACUUGCCAUAGGUAAGUUAAUAAACGUCUGCCUAUAGGCCGCAAUAAAGCUAACCCGGAGACGGUCCCCUUAAAGGCAAAUAUGUAUUAAAUCCCCACCCUGAAUUCUGUUCNNAUGGUAGACCAAUGGUUCCNNCUAUANGCUAUCUCGCUNUCCCGCCUAUGNGCCUUNUAUCCGCAG
rnacentral:rRNA from 1 species